UACAGCGAAACUGCGAAUGGCUCAUUAUAUAAGUUCCUCUGUUUAUUUGAUAGUGCCUUACUACUUGGAUAACCGUGGUAAUUCUAGAGCUAAUACAUGCUAAAAACCCCGACUUCGGAAGGGGUGUAUUUAUUAGAUACAAAACCAAUGCCCUUCGGGGCUCUUUGGUGAUUCAUGAUAACUAUACGAAUCGCACGGCCUUGCGCCGGCGAUGGUUCAUUCAAAUUUCUUCCCUAUCAACUUUCGAUGUUUGGGUAUUGGCCAAACAUGGUUGCAACGGGUAACGGAGGGUUAGGGCUCGACCCCGGAGAAGGAGCCUGAGAAACGGCUACUACAUCCAAGGAAGGCAGCAGGCGCGCAAAUUACCCAAUCCCGACUCGGGGAGGUAGUGACAAUAAAUACUGAUACAGGGCCCUUUCGGGCCUUGUAAUUGGAAUGAGUACAAUUUAAAUCCCUUAACGAGGAACAAUUGGAGGGCAAGUCUGGUGCCAGCAGCCGCGGUAAUUCCAGCUCCAAUAGCGUAUAU
rnacentral:rRNA from 1 species